rnacentral:rRNA from 1 species
UACGUAGGGUGCGAGCGUUAAUCGGAAUUACUGGGCGUAAAGCGUGCGCAGGCGGUUCGCCGUGUCCGAUGUGAAAGCCCCGGGCUUAACCUGGGAAUGGCAUUGGAAACUGGCGGGCUGGAGUGUGGCAGAGGGGGUGGAAUUCCACGUGUAGCAGUGAAAUGCGUAGAGAUGUGGAGGAACACCGAUGGCGAAGGCAGCCCCCUGGGCCAACACUGACGCUCAGGCACGAAAGCGUGGGGAGCAAACAGG